rnacentral:lncRNA from 1 species
GGACAGUCAACUCCAGAUAGGGCUAGACAUGUAACGGUCUAAGAAAGAAGGUUCGAUAUUUUCUUUUUAAUUGAACUGUUGUUUUACCUUUUUCCUUGCUUGCUUUUGCUUUUGCAGAGCUGAUGAACUGCAAACAGUGCUUAUGGAGAUGGUAAAGCAAGACAGUAGGCACCAAUUAAGUGCAAAGGUAUAGAGUACUUUCCUAUUAUUUAUAGAGAAAAUAUUCAAUUAAGGUCUGUGUAUCUGCUUGGUAGGGCGCUUCCUUCUUCUAGUCUCUAUUUAUUUGUCAAAAAAACAUGUCAAAUACUUCUUCGAUGAUGUUUAUUGAGUACUCUAGUUCUUUUGCAAGGGUGAAUUGAAGGAACUUUAGACGUGCUUGUGCCCAUCCUCAGCGCAAAACACAGUGGCAACGAAAGAUUUAAGGAUGCAUGAAUAUGUACUUCGAACUUUCUUUGUAAUAAACCUGGCACUCCCAUGUUGCGGCACUU